UAUUUUAAUCUCCAGUCCGAUAUUUUUUCACAAAAUUAAAAUAAAAUUCAAACCUUUUUCAAAAUAAAUAAUAUAAAAACUCUUUCUUCAUUCAUCUCUCUCACCUUCGGUUCUCUCUUUGCUCUCUUCCCUUUUCCCCUUUUUUCUACUAAUUUUCUUUUUCUCUCUUCCUUCUUUAUUGUCCUUUCUAACAAACCGCUGCCGCUGCCUCCACACACUUUCCAGCGUCUUACCUCCGAUCAGGCCAGCUUCCUUCCCAUCAUUCGAAAUUUAAAUCCUCAAAUAUAUCUAUCCAAUCCAUUGCUCCCCAUUUCUUCGGUGAUUCUCUCUCACUCUCGGUCUCUUUUCAACGUUUUCCUGUCAUUCUUUUUUAGCUUUGGGUAUCCACAGGCCAAAAAAACACACGCUAUAGUAGGAAGAGAGUUUUCGUGAGAGAAACCCUAAGUUUUCUCUGGCGUUUCUGGUUUUUGUGAUUUUUGAAUUUCGCUGCUUAAACGGAGACUCAUUUUAGGAACCCGGUGGGAGUUGUGUUGGCUUGAUUUUGGUUCUAGGAACCCGGUGGGAGUUGUGACGCACGUAGACUUUAUUUGGUAGUUUUUCUGGAUGGUAAUAAAAUGUCUUUUUAAUUCAUUGUGAGUUGUGACAUUCUGUUUCUUAGUUUUCUCAAAAAGUCUGUACUUUAGUUUUUAAAAAAUAAUAAUAAUCUAAUUGGGAUGCUUGUUGAUAUUGAUAGGAAUUGGAGAAUUUCAACCGAUUUGCUAAUUGCAAAGGUUUUUGUCGAUUUGGGUUUUAUGAUUAUAUACGGUGGAGAUUGUCAUGAUUCGUGUAUGCAUAUAUGUUUUCUUUUUCAUACUGCUGGGUGUUUGCAUUAGUCAGUAAGUGUUGGGUAUAUUUUCUUUAAAAUAAUUGGGAUUGUUUGAGUUCUGUUGGGUAUGAUUUGCAAAUGGAUUUUGAUUGGAAGUUUUAGGUAGACCCAUGGUAUCUCUGUAUAUCUGCUGAAUGAGAAGUUUUAUGUGAUUAUUGAUAUAUCCAUAUGGUGAAAAUGCUCUGAUUUUGGUUAAAGAUAGAAUUAUAUUCAUCUGUGUUACCUAGCCUUACAUGAAGCGAAAUUUAGUUGUAAUCUUUUAAGUAAAUAGGUUCCAUGAGACUGAUUAACGUAAUUUUGAUUUGCUUAUAGGUUGAUGGUUUUACGAGACUGGUAAAAAGAUGUGUUGGAUAUAUUCUCUAAUGAUGUCAUAACCAAUUUCUUGUUCAUUUAUUGUCCUAGUUGAUUUCUCGAUGCAUGCUGGUUCUGAAUAAAUUUUUGUUCUUUUGAUUUUUCUGUUUUGGGUUAGCUUACAGGAUUUAAAGAUUGUCUUAUUCCAAUACACGAAUAUCCUUGUCAUAUCCCGUCUCGGAAUAAGCUAUUCUGGGGAUAUCCCCUUUAUAUCCCAUCCCGAUUCAGAAUUUCACGUGUCCGGUUCAGUUCUUUUAGUGUCCGGUUCAGAUUUUUUAUGCUGCAGGACCGGACUACCUGUCACACUUAUUCCACGUAGGGAUAUCCCAUUCCGCGUAUAUCCCGGUUUGGGGAUAUCCCAAAAAGGGAUAUCACGGCCGGGUAUAUCCCAUUCCGACGAUAUCCCGGCGUUGGUUUAAGGUUUUUUUUGAAGGAAAAUACUGGGCUAUUAUUAAAAUACAAAAACACAAACCAUCAGGACUAAAAGACAGACUCCAAAACGAAAUAGGCCCAAAGCAAAACGAAAGCUUGGAAAAACAGGCCUAAAUUUAUCUGGGUCUAAGUACUAUUUAAGAAAAGAUUGUAUCUUCAAUCCAUAAAGAUUGAAUAUAACUUUUCCAAAGUACGAUAUUUUUCAAAAAAAUGAAAUAAAAUUCAAACCAUUUUUAAAAUAAAUAAUAAAAACUCUUUCUUCCUUCAUCUCUCUCACGUUCGGUUCUCCCUUUCUUCUCUCCCCCUUUUCCCCUUUCUUCUACUAAUUUUCUUUUUCUCUCUUCCUCCUUUAUUGUCCUUUCUAACAAACCGCUGCCGCUGCUUCCACACACUUUCCAGCGUCUUACCUCCGAUCAGGCCAGCUUCCUUCCCAUCAUUCGAAACUUAAAUCCUCAAAUAUAUCUAUCCAAUCCAUUGUUUCUCAUUUCUUCGGCGAUUCUCUCUCACCCUAGGUCUCUUUUCAACGUUUUCCUAUCAUUCUAUUUUAGCCUUGGGUAUCCAGAGGUCAAAAAAACACACGCUAUAGUAGGAAGAGAGUUUUCGUGAGAGAGAAACCCUAUGUUUUCUCUGGCGUUUCUGGUUUUUGUGAUUUUUGAAAUUCACUGCUUAAACGGAGACUCAUUUCAGGUAUCAAUUUCUUUUUUAGUUUCAGCUUUCGAAAUCUCUGUUUCGUUUCGUCUUUCAGAUCUAUAGAUGUCGGUCUUGUUCUUCAUUUUUGUUUGUUUAUCGUAUACUAUAUGUUGUUCUUUAUUUUUGGAUUGUUUGUUUCCCUCUGUUUAAUAUUUUAGCUUUUGUGUUAUUUUCUAUUUCUUUUAAAUCUUUGCUUAGCAGAAUACUAAUUGCUUAAACAAAAAUCAUCCGUAUGUAAAUUGUUUACUGCAUCUGUGUUGGCUUGAUUUUGGUUCUAGGAACCCAGCGGGAGUUGUGACGCAUGUAGAGUUUAUUUGUUAGUUUUUCUGGAUGGUAAUAAAAUGUCUUUUUAAUUCGUUGUGAGUUGUGACAUUCUGUUUCUUAGUUUUCUCAAAAAGUCUGUACUUUAGUUUUAAAAAAAUAGUAAUAAUCUAAUUGGGAUGCUUGUUGAUAUUGAUAAGAAUUGGAGAAUUUCAACCGAUUUGCUAAUUGCAAAGGUUUUUGUCGAUUUGGGUUUCAUGAUUAUAUACGGUGGAGAUUGUCUUGAUUCGUGUAUGCAUAUAUAUUUUCUUUUUCAUACUGCUGGGUGCUUGCAUUAGUCAGUAAGUGUUGGGUAUAUUUUCUUUAAAAUACUUGGGAUUGUUUGUGUUCUGUUGGGUAUGGUUUGCAAAUGGAUUUUGAUUGGAAGUUUUAGGUAGACCCAUGGUAUCUCUGUAUAUCAGCUGAAUGGGAAGUUUUGUGUGAUUAUUGAUAUAUCCAUGUGGUGAAAGUACUCUGAUUUUGGUUAAAGAUAGAAUUAUAUUCAUCUGUGUUACCUAGCCUUACAUGAAGGGAAAUUGAGUUGUAAUCUUUUAAAUAAAUAGGUUCUAUGAGACUGAUUAACAGAAUUUUAAUUUGCUUAUUGGUUGAUGGUUUAUGAGACUGAUAAAAAGAUGUGUUGGAUAUAUUCUCUAAUGAUGUCAUAACCAAUUUCUUGUUCAUUUAUUGUCUUAGUUAAUUUGAUGCGUGCUGGUUCUGAAUAAUUUUUUUUCUUUUGAUUUUUCUGUUUUGGGUUAGCUUACAGGAUUUAAAGAUUGUCUUUGGUCAAUCAUUUGAUAAUUAUUACCUUAUACAAGUGCUGUUUGAUUUUCCUUUUUCAAUGUUGUCAUAGUGUAUAAAUGUUGAGGGUUAAAUAUUUUAGAAUUAAAAGCAAAUUGACAUGAUAUAUAUAGCAGUUAUAAUAUUAUUUAAUUAAUAUUAUACAAUUAAUAUAAAAUGAAAUUAAAAUCAAGAUGUUUGGGAGUAUGAUUCGUUACUUUUCAACGAAACCCAAGCUGAAAAUGAAGCCAAUCGAGUUGAAAACGUCGCCAGAGCAAACGCAGACCAUAAGCAGAGUCACCUUUGACAUUCUCAAGGAGCAUGGGCCCCUCACCGUCGGUGAUACUUGGGAACGAAUCAAGGUCAGUUGUUUAGUAGACUAUAAUCUGUAUUCAUUGUGUAUCUAUAUUUGUUGUUUCCACAUCUAAUUAAGCCAAGCCCAAGAGUGAAGUAAGGGCAGUGCAAUUUUAUCGUUGCAUAAUUUUAGGAUCUUGAAUUCCAUACGAUAUUGUUUUUUUCAUGCUUUACUUGCCUGUGCUCGACAUAUUGGAGUAGAAAUGUGUUUAUGAGUUCAGGAGGUUGGACUGAGAGGACUUACAAGCAAGAGGCACAUGAAGAUCGUGGUGAGAUGGAUGAGAGGGAGACAAAACAUUAGGCUAAUAUGCAACCAUGUGGGGCCUCACAAACAAUUUCUGUAAACAACUUGGUUCACUAAACCAAGCAUCAGCCACGCAAGAGCUGUCCAUAAUUCCUCAACUUCUACAACUAGUUUUUCUGUCGAUACUUCUAGUCAAAAGUCGUCUUCAGGUUAGGUUGUAGCACGCUUGUGCUGGCUGUAAUACCAUCACAUGUACUGUUUUUUGCAAUAAUGUAAUACAAUUGUUCUGUUGUCAUGUUGUGGAAAUUUUACCCUCUUCUUCCCUUA